UGUACUUAUUCGAUCUAAUAGAAUGAUUUUGCCAUAUCCAGACUAAUACUAAUCUAAGCCAUUUCAUGAAUAAAAUGUGCCCAAUUAACCAACCAACAAAGCUACUUGUUACAAAUAACAUCAUGUUGUUGUAUUGAAACAUAUAAAUGACAUCAUUAUGAACACAAAGUCCCAAGGUAUGGAAUCCAAGAAAGAGGCCGGCCCAACUUAAAUGAGAUAUGAUAGCUUCUUUAUGGUCUAACAUUCUUGCCAAUACAUUAUCUUCAUUUUGCUUCGGGUUGUAAUCUCUAAUGAAAAAUAUAGCUCCUUGAGCAAAAGCUCCUGUCAUGAUGAAUCCUGCGAUAUAUUAGUGAUGAGUAUAUAAUGCAGCUUGAGUAGUAAAGUCUUGUGAUAUGAAUGCAUAAGCAGGUAAAGAGUACAUGUGUUGAGCUACUAAGGAAGUAAUAACCCCUAAAGAAGCUAGAGCAAGGCCUAAUUGAAAAUGAAGCGAAUUAUUGAGUGUGUCAUAAAGAUCCUUAUGCCUUCGUCCCAAUCAUCCCCCCAGAGGAAUAUGUGCAUCUAAAAGAUAUUUGAUACUAUGUCCAAUCCCGAAAUUCGUUCGAUACAUAUGACCAGCAACAAGAAAAAUAAAUGCAAUAGCUAGAUGAUGAUGAGCAAUAUCGGUCAGCCAUAAACUUUGUGUUUGUGGAUGGAAUCCCCUGAGAAGAGUUAGAAUGGCAGUUCCUGCUCCUUUGGAGGUCGAGAAAAAAAUGAUUUGAUUCGAAGUUUUGUCUAUGUAUGGAAUUCUAAUAAAUGACAAAUGAGCCUAUAAAAUCAAUUAGACUAUGAUUUAAGUCUUUUUUUCUUCUUCCUUCCUGAAAAUGAAAAAGAAACCAUUUGUACUCAUAACUUAAGUUGAUACAAAUCCAAAUUUAUCUGUAACUUCAAUAAAAUUGGAAUAGUUCCGUAUACUACUACAUUAGUAUGAAAUCGAAUCGGGUUCAAAUAUUUCAUAUUGAUUCAGGAACAGAAGGCCCAUAAUCUUUUUUUAAUCAAUCUAUUUUUAUGUUAUUUCAUACUGUACAAUUCUUUUCUUUGUGGGAUCAUUUUCCUACGAGAGGUAAUGAGAAGAAUUAUAGAAUGGAUUGCUACCUAUGCCUAGAUCGCGGAUAAAUGGAAAUUUUAUUGAUAAGACCUUUUCAAUUGUAGCCAAUAUGCCUACUUGAAUCGGAUAUUUGAAAUACCAACUAAUAUUUGGAAUACUAACUAAUCACAUAAUAUCCCCAGUUAUUUUUCUAUCUUUUUUGAAAUUUAGAAAUAAUAACCGUUUCCAUAAAUCUAUUGGAUUUUCGAAGUAAGUUAUUUAUCUUAUUAUUAAUCAAGGAUUUCUUAUAUAGCAAUUGUACCUAUUAAAGGGACUAAUAGAAUUAUUGAAAUGAGUUCAAAUGGAAGAAAAAAAUCUAUUUAUAAAUGAAUUCCAAUUUGUUGGCUAUUACUUAUCAAAUCUUGCUCUAUAAUCUAGUUUGAUUUUGUAGAAAU
rnacentral:lncRNA from 1 species